GCGGUCUUAGUGUAAUGGUCAGCACAAGAGUUUGUGGAACUCUUAGUGGGAGUUCGAAUCUCCUAGAUCGCC
rnacentral:tRNA from 1 species